rnacentral:rRNA from 1 species
CCUACGGGGUGCUGCAGUGGGGAAUAUUGGACAAUGGGCGAAAGCCUGAUCCAGCCAUGCCGCGUGUGUGAAGAAGGCCUUCGGGUUGUAAAGCACUUUCAGUGGGGAAGAAAGCCUUGGGGCUAAUACCCUCGAGGAAGGACAUCACCCACAGAAGAAGCACCGGCUAACUCCGUGCCAGCAGCCGCGGUAAUACGGAGGGUGCGAGCGUUAAUCGGAAUUACUGGGCGUAAAGCGCGCGUAGGCGGUCUGAUAAGCCGGUUGUGAAAGCCCCGGGCUCAACCUGGGAACGGCAUCCGGAACUGUCAGGCUAGAGUGCAGGAGAGGAAGGUAGAAUUCCCGGUGUAGCGGUGAAAUGCGUAGAGAUCGGGAGGAAUACCAGUGGCGAAGGCGGCCUUCUGGACUGACACUGACGCUGAGGUGCGAAAGCGUGGGUAGCGAACAGGAUUAGAUACCCUGGUAGUC